rnacentral:rRNA from 1 species
AACCCGGCCGAUGCACACAUUCUUGAGUGCCUAU